CUUUGAGAAAUGAACCCUUUUGUGAUCCACUUGGAUGAAAAGCUUCAAAAGGCUUCAUCUCACCAUCACUAGAUAAAACGGUAUGUUUAAUUGUGACCAAUGCGUAUUAGAGAAAAACAUUUAUUUCAUAAUUAGAUUUCUCUCCAAUUUUAAAUUCUUCUUCUCCAAUGAAAGGGGAGGCACAAAAUGGGGGGUAAUGUUUUCGAUUUGAAUCAUAGCUGUCAACCCUCCCGUGUUUUCCGGGUUUCUCACGUAUUUUAGCUCUUUUCCUGCUGUCUUCCCGUUUUAGUAUUUUCCCGUAAAAUAUCCCGUAUUUUUACACUCUGAUUUUGUUAACUCAGAACACGCAACUAUCUGUGUCUGUGAAAGUGGCUUGCACUUGGGUUGCUAGACCUCCAGUAAAGCAGGUGGCAGUAUACAGUAGCUUAGGCUACUAUCGAAGAAGAAGACAGUUGCAGCGGCGCCGGCGGGCGGGAGGAAGAGGGAAAAAGUAGCGGGAAGUGAACUUCGAGAGUAGAUGAGUGUGAUGUGCGAUGAUGGAUCAGGACGCCGGCGGCCAAAAUCACUGAGUUAAUCACCAACCAAAACCGAGGACAUUAUGCCGAUAUCUGAGUAAAUGGGAGACCACCUUCCACUACCUGACAAGCAGCCAUGUAGGUCCAAAUUAUGCCUACUGCAAAAUUUGUCGUUGUAAUUUCAGUGUUGGUCAUGGAGGGAAAAACGACGUUUCGCAGCACGACAAAUCACCAUAACACAAGCGCGCGAGUGAGUGAGCUAGGCACACAACAUCAUUAUCAUCAUUCAUGGUGAACCGUGCCUCGUCUGAAGCUGAUCAGAUAUUGAAAGCUGAGGUGAAAAUGUCGAUGCUAAUUGCCUAAUAUAACGUCGCGUUCAGUUUUUUGGACGACUUCAACCGUAGUGUGGCUGACAUGUUCCCGGAUUCAGCGAUUGCCAAGAAAUACACUCUGGGGAAAACGAAGGCUACACAAAUCAUUAAAGGUGCCAUAGCACUGGACAUGGAUGAAGAUGUGACAUCAAUCUGUAAAUCCCAGCCUUUCUCUCUUUUAUGUGAUGAGUCCAACAACAGAAACGCUGAUAAGCAAUUUGUCAUACUUGCAAGGGUAUACAAUGAGGCAAACCUGGAAGUAGCUACAAAGUUUCUAGACAUGCCCACAUGCAAUGUGGGCAAUGCAGAAAAUUUGUUUAACAAGCUGGACAUAACACUAAGGAAUCGUGGCAUUCCCUGGACAAAUCUGAUUGCAUUCAAUUCCGAUAACGCAAGUGUCAUGAAAGGCAGGCACAACUCAGUAAUAAGUAGGGUUAAAACAAACCAGCCUAAUGUGCAAGAUCUCGGCUGCAUCUGCCACCUAGUCCAGCUUGCCACUGGUUGUGGCAUGAAGGCUGCAAAGCUGCCUGUGGAAGCAUACUGGUGGGCAUUUACACCCACUUUGACAAAAGUGCAAAGAGAUGUGAACUCUACAAGGAAUUUGUAGAGUUUACGGAUUCUGACAGCCUGAAACUGCUUAGAUAUUGCAGCACCAGAUGGCUCAGUCUGCUGAGCUGUAUAGAGAGGGUUCUCAACCAGUGGGCUGCUCUUCAGGCAUAUUUUAACAGUCACGAGGGGUUGGAGACGAACACCAAAAUUAGGGAUCUGUCAAAACAUCUCAACGAUCCAUUGAUCAAGGCGUACUUCAAGUUCCUCAGUGUUGCCCUUAAGCCUCUAUCAGACUUUAAUAUUGCCUUUCAGUCAGAGCAAGUACAGAUACACAAGCUGGACAAAGAGAUGACCAGGCUUAUCAAGCGGAUGCUGGGGUGCCUUGUUCCAGCAAAGGCGAUUAUGGAUGUCCCUCUCAAAGAAGUGAACUUUGGAGAGGGACAUCAAUUGGCAGACGAGGACCUCUUCAUUGGAGGGGACACAAAGGCGUUCAUUAGAACUGCAGAGUUCCCUGUUCCAACUAAGAACAAAUUCUUUCAAACUGUGAGAGCUUUCUACGAAGCAGUUUUGCGCAAGAUGUUUGCCUGUUUUCCAAUCGAUUCCCAGCUACUGAAGGACUUGAGAAUACUAGACCCUGGAUCUCGAAUGGAGAUAAGUCCAGACACUGUGUCGAGGCUAGGUGCCCUGUUCCCACAGUUUCUCAUGAAUGAGGAUAGGCUCAGAGAGGAGCUAAUUGAUUUCCAAGUCACUGAUAGCAAAGAUCUCCCACAAGAACCAAGAAUAGACAGGUUCUGGGGCCUUGUAGGAAAGAAUGACAGCUUCACUGAGUUGGCGAGACUUGCAAAGACACUGUUAUGUAUACCACACAGUAACGCAAGCUCAGAAAGGGCGUUUAGCAUGGUGAGCAAGAUUGUUACAUCCAACCGAAUGGCACUGGAUUCCAGCACUGUGUGUGCUUUGCUAUCUUGUAAAAUAAAUCACACUGGUCAGGUUCACCUAUACACUCCCUCACAGAAAGUGUUAAGAAAUGCAAAAUCAGCCACAUAUGUAUACAAUAGGGCUCAUGCUUCACACCAGGAAGGGUGACAAGGUUGUCUUUACUGUCUCUAUCCAUUUGUUCAACUGCCUCUUACACACAUUCUUUCUGUCUAUCUGCCUCUUUCUCUGUUUCUUUCUCACUCUGUCUCACAAAAUUAAGCUAAAACACGUUGUAGCAAAUUAAAAUGUUUAAGUAAUGUUUACCUUGUUCAUAAAUAAAUCACUUUUAACA
ensembl:lncRNA